UACGUAGGGUGCGAGCGUUGCCCGGAUUUAUUGGGCGUAAAGGGCUCGUAGGCGGUCUGUCGCGUCGGGGAGUGAAAACUCAGGGCUUAACCCUGAGCCUGCUUCCGAUACGGGCAGACUAGAGGUAUGCAGGGGGAGAACGGAAUUCCUGGUGUAGCGGUGAAAUGCGCAGAUAUCAGGAGGAACACCGGUGGCGAAGGCGGUUCUCUGGGCAUGUCCUGACGCUGAGGAGCGAAAGUGUGGGGAGCGAACAGG
rnacentral:rRNA from 1 species